GCGGCUGUGGCGGAAUUGGUAGACGCGUUAGCUUCAGGUGCUAGUGAGCGAAAGCUCGUGGAGGUUCGAGUCCUCUCAGCCGCACCA
rnacentral:tRNA from 2 species